rnacentral:rRNA from 1 species
UACGUAGGGUGCAAGCGUUGUCCGGAAUUAUUGGGCGUAAAGAGCUCGUAGGCGGUUUGUCGCGUCUGCUGUGAAAUCCCGAGGCUCAACCUCGGGUCUGCAGUGGGUACGGGCAGACUAGAGUGUGGUAGGGGAGAUUGGAAUUCCUGGUGUAGCGGUGGAAUGCGCAGAUAUCAGGAGGAACACCGGUGGCGAAGGCGGGUCUCUGGGCCGAUACUGACGCUGAGGAGCGAAAGCGUGGGGAGCGAACAGG